CAGCCGCCGCGGGAAUACGUAGGUCCCGAGCGUUGUCCGGAUUUAUUGGGCGUAAAGCGAGCGCAGGCGGUUAGAUAAGUCUGAAGUUAAAGGCUGUGGCUUAACCAUAGUACGCUUUGGAAACUGUUUAACUUGAGUGCAAGAGGGGAGAGUGGAAUUCCAUGUGUAGCGGUGAAAUGCGUAGAUAUAUGGAGGAACACCGGUGGCGAAGGCGGCUCUCUGGCUUGUGACUGACGCUGAGGCUCGAAAGCGUGGGGAGCAAACAGGAUUAGAUACCCCAGUAGUCCCUGUCUCUUAUACA
rnacentral:rRNA from 1 species